AUGAUAGAUUCGGGAGAGACCGCGCAGGACGCGGCGCCGAAGGGGAAGCGGAGAACUCUCAGGCAAAAGGACCGAAUACUGGAC
rfam:Clostridium sp. FS41 CLFS41_contig000076, whole genome shotgun sequence.